GCGGAGGAAAAGAAACCAACAGGGAUUGCCCUAGUAACGGCGAGUGAAGCGGCAACAGCUCAAAUUUGAAAUCUGGCGCAAGCCCGAGUUGUAAUUUGUAGAGGAUGCUUCAGGGCAGCGGCCGGUCUAAGUUCCUUGGAACAGGACGUCAUAGAGGGUGAGAAUCCCGUAUGCGACCGGUUGGCACCCGUCACGUAGCUCCUUCGACGAGUCGAGUUGUUUGGGAAUGCAGCUCUAAAUGGGAGGUAAAUUUCUUCUAAAGCUAAAUACCGGCCAGAGACCGAUAGCGCACAAGUAGAGUGAUCGAAAGAUGAAAAGCACUUUGGAAAGAGAGUUAAAAAGCACGUGAAAUUGUUGAAAGGGAAGCGCAUGCAACCAGACUUGUCGGCGGUGUUCCGCCGGUCUUCUGACCGGUCCAUUCGCCGCCGACAGGCCAGCAUCAUCUGGGCGCGCCGGAUAAAGGCGUAGGGAAUGUGGCUCCUCGGAGUAUUAUAGCCCCGCGCACAAUACGGCGCCGCUCGGGUGAGGUCCGCGCUUCGGCUAGGAUGCUGGCGUAAUGGUUGUCUGCGGCCCGUCUUGAAACACGGACCAAGGAGUCUAACAUCUAUGCGAGUGUUCGGGCGUCAAACCCCUACGCGUAAUGAAAGUGAACGGAGGUGGGAAGCGCAAGCUGCACCAUCGACCGAUCCUGAUGUCUUCGGAUGGAUUUGAGUAAGAGCAUAGCUGUUGGGACCCGAAAGAUGGUGAACUAUGCCUGAAUAGGGUGAAGCCAGAGGAAACUCUGGUGGAGGCUCGCAGCGGUUCUGACGUGCAAAUCGAUCGUCAAAUUUGGGUAUAGGGGCGAAAGACUAAUCGAACCAUCUAGUAGCUGGUUCCUG
rnacentral:rRNA from 1 species